rnacentral:rRNA from 1 species
AUUGAACGCUGGCGGCAUGCCUUACACAUGCAAGUCGAACGGCAGCACGGGUGCUUGCACCUGGUGGCGAGUGGCGAACGGGUGAGUAAUGUAUCGGAACGUACCUUAUUGUGGGGGAUAACGCAGCGAAAGCUGUGCUAAUACCGCAUAAUCCCUAAGGGGGAAAGCGGGGGACCGUAAGGCCUCGCGCAAUUAGAGCGGCCGAUACCUGAUUAGCUAGGUGGUGAGGUAAAGGCUCACCAAGGCAACGAUCAGUAGCUGGUCUGAGAGGACGAUCAGCCACACUGGGACUGAGACACGGCCCAGACUCCUACGGGAGGCAGCAGUGGGGAAUUUUGGACAAUGGGGGCAACCCUGAUCCAGCAAUGCCGCGUGAGUGAAGAAGGCCUUCGGGUUGUAAAGCUCUUUUGUCAGGGAAGAAACAGCAGCUCUAACACAGUUUGCGAAUGACGGUACCUGAAGAAUAAGCACCGGCUAACUACGUGCCAGCCGCCGCCGUAA